rnacentral:rRNA from 1 species
AACGCGAAGAACCUUACCUGGGUUUGACAUGCACAGGACGGUCGUAGAGAUACGGCUUCCCUUGUGGCCUGUGUGCAGGUGGUGCAUGGCUGUCGUCAGCUCGUGUCGUGAGAUGUUGGGUUAAGUCCCGCAACGAGCGCAACCCUUGUCUCAUGUUGCCAGCGCGUUAUGGCGGGGACUCGUGAGAGACUGCCGGGGUCAACUCGGAGGAAGGUGGGGAUGACGUCAAGUCAUCAUGCCCCUUAUGUCCAGGGCUUCACACAUGCUACAAUGGCCGGUACAAAGGGCUGCUAAUCCGCGAGGAGGAGCCAAUCCCCAAAGCCGGUCUCAGUUCGGAUUGGAGUCUGCAACUCGACUCCAUGAAGUCGGAGUCGCUAGUAAUCCCGGAUCAGCAACGCCGGGGUGAAUACGUUCCCGGGCCUUGUACACACCGGUACUA